rfam:Nomascus leucogenys chromosome 2, whole genome shotgun sequence.
AUCCUUUUGUAGUUCAUGAGUGUGAUGAUCGGGUGUUCAUACGGUUGUGUGAGAUGUGCCACCCUUGAACCUUGUUACGACGUGGGCACACUACCCUUCUGACC